UACGAAGGGGGCUAGCGUUGCUCGUAAUUACUGGGCGUAAAGUGUGCGCAGGCGGCCAUGCAAGUCGAGUGUGAAAGCCCCGGGCUUAACUUGGGAAUUGCGCUCGAAACUACGUGGCUGGAGUGUGGCAGAGGAAGGUGGAAUUCCACGUGUAGCGGUGAAAUGCGUAGAGAUGUGGAGGAACACCAAUGGCGAAGGCAGCCUUCUGGGCCAACACUGACGCUCAUGCACGAAAGCGUGGGGAGCAAACAGG
rnacentral:rRNA from 1 species